UGGCUGUUUGUGGCUUGCCCUCUUUUAGCCCUAACGUGAACAUAAUUAUCCUUAGGAGGUUCUCCACCAUCAGAGUCAUCCUUAACUUGUUUCCCUGCUUGCUUGUUCCUUAAGUUAGAGCUAACGUUUUGGUCUGUUUUGUGUCUUUUUCCACCAUCUUGUUCUUUUGAACAGUCUGAACUAUCUCUUGAUGGAGCCUUCUGCAGCUCUCCUUCAACAUUCUUGUUGGCAUUGG
rnacentral:misc_RNA from 1 species